rnacentral:tRNA from 1 species
AAAAUUUUAGUUUAAUAAAAACGUUUCAUUUACAUUGAAAAAUUUAAUGUAUAUUAAAAUUUUA